rnacentral:rRNA from 1 species
CCUUACACAUGACAAGUCGAACGGUAACGGUUAGCCGACGAGUGGCGGAACGGGUGAGUAAUGCAGUCGGAACGUCGCCCAGUCGGUGGGGAUAACGCAGACGAAAGCUGUGACUAAUACGCAUACGAUCUAUGGAUGAAAGCGGGGGACCGUAAGGCCUCGCGCGAUUGGAGCGGCCGAUAUCAGAUUAGGUAGUUGGUGGGGUAAAGGCUCACCAAGCCAACGAUCUGUAGCUGGUCUGAGAGGACGACCAGCCACACUGGAACUGAGACACGGUCCAGACUCCUACGGGAGGCAGCAGUGGGGAAUUUUGGACAAUGGGCGCAAGCCUGAUCCAGCAAUGCCGCGUGCAGGAAGAAGGCCUUCGGGUUGUAAACUGCUUUUGUACGGAACGAAAAGGUCUGGGUUAAUACCCUGGGCUCAUGACGGUACCGUAAGAAUAAGCACCGGCUAACUACGUG